UUUAUUGGAAGUUUGAUCCUGGCUCAGGACGAACACUGGCGGCGUGCCUAAUACAUGCAAGUCGAGCGGACCUUGUGUUUCCUUCGGGAGACGCCAGGUUAGCGGCGGACAGGUGAGUAACCACGUAGGCAACCUGCCUGUAAGACCGGGAUAACUUGCGGGAAACGUGAGCUAAUACCGGAUAGCUGGUUUCUUCGCAUGAAGAAGUCAUGAAAGACGGGGCAACCUGUCACUUACAGAUGGGCCUGCGGCGCAUUGGCUAGUUGGUAGGGUAACGGCUUACCAAGGCGACGAUGCGUAGCCGACCUGAGAGGGUGAACGGCCACACUGGGACUGAGACACGGCCCAGACUCCUACGGGAGGCAGCAGUAGGGAAUCUUCCGCAAUGGACGGACGAAAGUCUGACGGAGCAACGCCGCGUGAGUGAUGAAGGUUUUCGGAUCGUAAAGCUCUGUUGCCAAGGAAGAACGGCCAGGGGAGUAACUGCCCCUGGAGUGACGGUACUUGAGAAGAAAGCCCCGGCUAACUACGUGCCAGCAGCCGCGGUAAUACGUAGGGGCAAGCGUUGCUCGGAAUUAUUGGGCGUAAAAGCCGCGCGCAGGCGUCUUUUUAAGUCUGGUGUUUAAGCCAGAGACUCGGCGGUUCGCACUGGAAACUGGGAGACUUGGGUGUAGGAGAGAGGAGUAAUUCCACGUGUAGCGGUGAAAUGCGUAGAGAUGAACAUAGUGGCGGCGAGCACAGGCUCCUCUGUGACGCUGAGGCGCGAAAGCGUGGGGGAGCAAGCAAGUUAGAUACCCUGGUAGUCCACGCCGUAAACGAUGAAUGCUAGGUGUUAGGGGUUUCGAUACCCUUGGUGCCGAAGUUAACACAGUAAGCAUUCCGCCUGGGAAUCCCCGGUCGCAAGACUGAAACUCAAAGGAGUGACGGGGACCCGCACAAGCAGUGGAGUAUGUGGUUUAAUUCGAAGCAACGCGGGAACCUUCUGAGCCUUGACAUCCCUCCUGACCGGUUUAGAGAUAGAUCUUUUCCUUCGGGGACAGAGGAGACAGGUGGUGCAUGGUUGUCGUCAGCUCGUGUCGUGAGAUGUUGGGUUAAGUCCCGCAACGAGCGCAACCCUUGAUCUUAGUUGCCAGCACGCAGAGGUGGGCACUCUAAGAUGACUGCCGGUGACAAACCGGAGGAAGGUGGGGAUGACGUCAAAUCAUCAUGCCCCUUAUGGCCUGGGCUACACACGUACUACAAUGGUCGGUACAACGGGAAGCAGAAGGAGCGAUCCGGAGCCAAUCCUCAAAAGCCGAUCUCAGUUCGGAUUGCAGGCUGCAACUCGCCUGCAUGAAGUCGGAAUUGCUAGUAAUCGCGGAUCAGCAUGCCGCGGUGAAUACGUUCCCGGGUCUUGUACACACCGCCCGUCACACCACGAGAGUUUACAACACCCGAAGUCGGUAGAAGGUAACCACGCAAGGGGCGCAAACCGCCGAAGGUGGGGUGAAUGAUUGGGGUGAAGUCGUAACAAGGUAGCCGUAUCGGAAGGUGCGGCUGGAUCACCUCCUUU
rnacentral:rRNA from 1 species